AACUAUUCUAAAGAACUAUUAAAAACAGGCUAAGAGUUGUUUUAACUGUGAUCGUCAAAAAAUUGUAUGAUAAACAUCCAUCUUGUCAAGAUUUCUUUGGAAAACCCCUG
rfam:Loxodonta africana clone VMRC15-75M7, complete sequence.